rnacentral:rRNA from 1 species
AUUGAACGCUGGCGGCAUGCUUUACACAUGCAAGUCGAACGACAGCGCGGGCUUCGGCCUGGCGGCGAGUGGCGAACGGGUGAGUAAUACAUCGGAACGCGCCCAGUAGUGGGGGAUAGCUCGGCGAAAGCCGGAUUAAUACCGCAUACGACCUGAGGGUGAAAGCGGGGGAUCUUCGGACCUCGCGCUAUUGGAGCGGCCGAUGGCAGAUUAGCUAGUUGGUGGGGUAAAGGCCUACCAAGGCGACGAUCUGUAGCUGGUCUGAGAGGACGACCAGCCACACUGGGACUGAGACACGGCCCAGACUCCUACGGGAGGCAGCAGUGGGGAAUUUUGGACAAUGGGCGAAAGCCUGAUCCAGCAAUGCCGCGUGUGUGAUGAAGGCCUUCGGGUUGUAAAGCACUUUUGGCGGGAACGAAAAGGACUGUGCCAAUACCACGGUUCGAUGACGGUACCCGCAGAAUAAGCACCGGCUAACUACGUG